GACGAACGCUGGCGGCGUGCUUAACACAUGCAAGUCGAACGGUAAGGCCCUUCGGGGUACACGAGUGGCGAACGGGUGAGUAACACGUGGGUGAUCUGCCCUGCACUUCGGGAUAAGCCUGGGAAACUGGGUCUAAUACCGGAUAGGACCACUGCCUGCAUGGGUGGUGGGGGAAAGCUUUUGCGGUGUGGGAUGGGCCCGCGGCCUAUCAGCUUGUUGGUGGGGUGAUGGCCUACCAAGGCGACGACGGGUAGCCGGCCUGAGAGGGUGACCGGCCACACUGGGACUGAGAUACGGCCCAGACUCCUACGGGAGGCAGCAGUGGGGAAUAUUGCACAAUGGGCGCAAGCCUGAUGCAGCGACGCCGCGUGAGGGAUGACGGCCUUCGGGUUGUAAACCUCAUUCAGCACCGACGAAGCGCAAGUGACGGUAGGUGCAGAAGAAGGACCGGCCAACUACGUGCCAGCAGCCGCCGCAG
rnacentral:rRNA from 1 species